rnacentral:lncRNA from 1 species
AGCCCAAUCGAGUUAAAUGGGUUAAAUUAAACCCAAUUGGGCUAAGGCUGAACCCCCAUUUAUGCAAUAGUAAUCCCAGCAGGCCCAAUUAAUUGUAAAUCAGGCCCAGUCCAAGCUAAUUAAAUUGGCAGAGGGCCUAAUUGGCUGAAAGAGGCUGGACUUAGUUUAAAUCAGGCCCAACCCUGUCAUUAAAAAGCCCAAUUAACCAUAUGGACCCAAAUGUCUUUAAAUGAACACCAAAG